rnacentral:rRNA from 1 species
UACGUAGGGAGCAAGCGUUGUCCGGAAUCAUUGGGCGUAAAGCGCGCGUAGGUGGCCUCGUAAGUCCGCUGUGAAAGUCCAAGGCUCAACCUUGGAAAGCCGGUGGAUACUGUGAGGCUAGAGUACGGAAGAGGCGAGUGGAAUUCCUGGUGUAGCGGUGGAAUGCGCAGAUAUCAGGAGGAACACCAAUAGCGAAGGCAGCUCGCUGGGACGUUACUGACACUGAGGCGCGAAAGCGUGGGGAGCAAACAGG